UACGUAGGGUCCGAGCGUUGUCCGGAAUUACUGGGCGUAAAGAGCUCGUAGGUGGUUUGUCGCGUUGUUCGUGGAAAACUCACAACUCAAUUGUGGGCGUGCGGGCGAUACGGGCAGACUGGAGUACUGCAGGGGAGACUGGAAUUCCUGGUGUAGCGGUGGAAUGCGCAGAUAUCAGGAGGAACACCGGUGGCGAAGGCGGGUCUCUGGGCAGUAACUGACGCUGAGGAGCGAAAGCGUGGGGAGCGAACAGG
rnacentral:rRNA from 1 species